GACGAACGCUGGCGGCGUGCUUAACACAUGCAAGUCGAACGGAAAGGCCCUGCUUUUGUGGGGUGCUCGAGUGGCGAACGGGUGAGUAACACGUGAGUAACCUGCCCUUGACUUUGGGAUAACUUCAGGAAACUGGGGCUAAUACCGGAUAUGAGCUCCUGCUGCAUGGUGGGGGUUGGAAAGUUUCGGCGGUUGGGGAUGGACUCGCGGCUUAUCAGCUUGUUGGUGGGGUAGUGGCUUACCAAGGCUUUGACGGGUAGCCGGCCUGAGAGGGUGACAGGCCACAUUGGGACUGAGAUACGGCCCAGACUCAUACGGGAGGCAGCAGUGGGGAAUAUUGCACAAUGGGAGGAAGCCUGAUGCAGCAACGCCGCGUGCGGGAUGACGGCCUUCGGGUUGUAAACCGCUUUCGCCUGUGACGAAGCGUGAGUGACGGUAAUGGGUAAAGAAGCACCGGCUAACUACGUG
rnacentral:rRNA from 1 species